AGCUCCAAUAGCGUAUAUUAAAGUUGUUGCGGUUAAAAAGCUCGUAGUUGGAUUUCUGUCUUAAGUGACCGUCCCACCUUCGGGUUGGUGACAGGUUCGCUAAAGACUUACGUUUUGUAAACACGGUAUCACCUUGUUGUGGAACCGGUUUCUAAACACGUUACUUUGAGGAAAUUAGAGUGUUUCAAGCAGGCGAAAGCCUUGAAUACAUUAGCAUGGAAUAAUAAAUUUGAACUUGGUUCUUUUUUGUUGGUUUCUGGAACUAAGGUAUUGAUUAAUAGGAACAGUCGGGGGCAUUCGUACUUAACAGUCAGAGGUGAAAUUCUUGGAUUUGUUAAAGACGAACUAAUGCGAAAGCAUUUGCCAAGGAUGUUUUCAUUGAUCAAGAACGAAAGUACGC
rnacentral:rRNA from 1 species